CAGGAACGCUGGCGGCAGGCUUAACACAUGCAAGUCGAGCGCCCCGCAAGGGGAGCGGCAGACGGGUGAGUAACGCGUGGGAAUCUACCCAUCUCUACGGAAUAACGCAUGGAAACGUGUGCUAAUACCGUAUACGUCCUUCGGGAGAAAGAUUUAUCGGAGAUGGAUGAGCCCACGUUGGAUUAGCUAGUUGGUGGGGUAAAGGCCUACCAAGGCGACGAUCCAUAGCUGGUCUGAGAGGAUGAUCAGCCACACUGGGACUGAGACACGGCCCAGACUCCUACGGGAGGCAGCAGUGGGGAAUAUUGGACAAUGGGCGCAAGCCUGAUCCAGCCAUGCCGCGUGAGUGAUGAAGGCCCUAGGGUUGUAAAGCUCUUUCACCGGUGAAGAUAAUGACGGUAACCGAAGAAGAAGCCCCGGCUAACUUCGUGCCAGCAGCCGCCGUAAGAC
rnacentral:rRNA from 1 species